AAUCCAUAGGUUAAUGAGGCGAACCGGGGGAACUGAAACAUCUAAGUACCCCGAGGAAAAGAAAUCAACCGAGAUUCCCCCAGUAGCGGCGAGCGAACGGGGAGGAGCCCAGAGCCUGAAUCAGCAUGUGUGUUAGUGGAAGCGUCUGGAAAGGCGCGCGAUACAGGGUGACAGCCCCGUACACAAAAGCGCAUGUGCUGUGAGCUCGAUGAGUAGGGCGGGACACGUGGUAUCCUGUCUGAAUAUGGGGGGACCAUCCUCCAAGGCUAAAUACUCCUGACUGACCGAUAGUGAACCAGUACCGUGAGGGAAAGGCGAAAAGAACCCCGGCGAGGGGAGUGAAAAAGAACCUGAAACCGUGUACGUACAAGCAGUGGGAGCACAGGUUUACCUGUGUGACUGCGUACCUUUUG
rnacentral:rRNA from 1 species